ACCGUUCUUCGGUCAAGGGUAUACGAGUAGCUGCGCUCCCCUGCUAGAACCUCCAAACAAGCUCUCCAGGUCCAACUCUGAAGAUGAGAAUUUUUUC
rnacentral:sRNA from 1 species